UUGUGCAGAGCUGCGGACUAAGCACUGAUCCCUGCAGAACCCCACCAGAGACGAACACAACCUACGUCAACUACCCCAGCCUGAGGAAGUGCCUAAUGUUCAAUUACUGCCUGUGAAUCAAUCAGUACAGUGCACUGGCACCAAUUCAACAGGAUUCAUUUUGUACAUGAGCCUCAGAAACUCCAGCACUUGGGUCCAGCCUGUGGUAAACUACAUAUACCUGUCUGGACACGCCCACCCUGCUGACUGCUCCUGUGGCUCCUCCCACAGACCCCUGUAUAAAGGCGAUUGGAGGCACUGCUCCUCCCUCAGUCUCCAGGAUGUUGUCUGAUGGUCUCUUGCUGCUGAUAGUGCUCUCUCUUCCAGCUAAUAAAAGCCUAUCUCUUGCCUCACGUCUCCAAGAGUUAUUGAUGGUGCAUCACAGCCAUUCUUGCCUAGGCCUCUCAUCACAGUACGAUUGAGCCAGACAUAGGCUCAGCACGGUAUCAGAGUCUCUAGUCCACUGCAGUCAGCCUCAGCGAGAGGUUUUCGAGACACAGCCUGGAGAUAUGUGACUAUCAAGUCCCUGUGGGCCAACUUUCGCAAGGGGGCAGCCAGAGUUGCUCAGGUGAGGCUGUCGGUUGCUCUGUGGAGCCAGCACACCACCUGACCCCGGAGAGAUUCAACGGUAACUGGGUUCUUGCCACAGCUUCCUCACUCAAUUCUCAUUGGUGUUCGAACUGGUGCCCUUCAGAGUGCAGAAAGGUAGCCUUCAUUAUGUAAAGGGGGUUUCUUUUUUUUUUCUUUGCUACUGUGUAUGUAAUCAAAAUGGCAGUGUAACCCCCUGGGUCACCUCAGGCUCGCUCAGCUCGUUCCCGUCUAGGGGGAGCAGCCUUUGGCCCCGCCAAACUGGGUCAUCAGCUGUGUGGAUGCUGUGUGAUGUCCCCGCCUCGCCCAAAAACAGACAGUACACCAUAUGCGAUUAAAUGAGUACAAUUUAUAACGGUUACUAUAAGUAAGUGAUUAAUAAUGAUACAGUAUAUAUGAAGAAAAAAAUAAAGAAAAGGUGCCAAACUUAUCAAAGUCCAAACCACUUCGUGCAAAACCGUUGGAGCUCAAUUACUGAAGUCUUCUGGCCACCAUUCGAUCCCCUCCGAACUCCUCGACUCGCAGCUUAGGACCAUCCGAAGUGGUCAACCAAGCACAUCUAGCUUCAUCCCCCCUCCUCGGAGUACCUCCUGGCCUCGGACCCCCGCUUGGGGUCUGUUCCUCGCCCAGUUUACAGCAUUGCGUCCUCUCUCUCUCUCCCCUUCGUGCCGAUCUCCCCAAAAGCCCGUCAACAAUAGCUUACAGACUCAGAAGAAAGAACAACAUUAAUCCCCAUUUGGUUUACAAAGGAAUACAAUUCUCGUUAUCAGUAAAUUUUAACUCAAACAAGCUUCCAGUACUCUCUCGCAACAAAGAAGCAUUCAAUGGUCUACUUCUGCACCUAUUGUCUAUUGUCUAAAACAAAGAAGCCGUUUUGAUUAACAUAUGCAGUAACAAAGAAAAAGAGGAAACCCCCCUCCCUUUACAUUCGUACAGAGAAAGGACAGGAGCCCACGGUCAUGCAUCGCUUGCAGAGGGUUGAAUCACAUAACAGCCAAGAUUUGUUAACCCCUUCCAUUCAUGAACACUACCUAUGAGAUUCUCCAAGGGGAAGAGGAGUCACGAAGCUAGACCUGUGGGAUGUGUACAGUCUGAAGGAGAACAAUGAGUGGAAAACUGCAUUCAUCAUCCUGAAUGGGCGCUAUGAAUACCAGGUCAUGUCCUUCGGCCUCACAGACACUAGCAGCUUCCUAGGCUUUUAUAAGCGAUGUGCUCCACGAAUCUUUUUAUAAAUAUGCCUUCUUCUACUUGGAUAGCAUACUAUUCUUCUCCAAGGCCAUUGAAUAGCAUGUCACACACAUCAGGAACAUUUUAAAGAGGUUUCUAGACCAUGGACUUUAUGACAAGCUGAAGAAAUCUGAAUUUCACAUGACUUCCAUUCCAUUUUUGGGUUUAUCACCUUUAAUAGCAAUCUCAAGAUGGACUCAUCUAAGACCCAGGCAGACAGAGCCCCGCCAGUGCCAUGCAACAUGCAACAAGUCCAAUGAUUGCUGAAAUUUUCCGACUUUUACUGUAAGUGCAAAAGGAAUUUCAGCUCAGGGGUGGCUCCACUGACAGCACUAACUAAGAGAUCCAUGGACACUUCUGUCUGGACUAGUGAAGCAGAGGUGCUUUUGAGAACUCAAUCAGCAGUUCACAACAGCUCCCAUUUUGGUUUCAACUAACCUGGACCUUCCCUUCAUCUUGGAAGUGGGUGCAAUAUUGUUUCAAUGGACACCUUUGGCAGUAAGCUGCACCCAUGUGCAUUCUUCUCCAGGCAGUUAUCCCUGGCUGAGGUAACCUAUGACAUCGCGAAUAAGGAGCUGGUCACAGUUAAGUUGGCUUUGGAAGAAUGGUAUCACUGACGAGGUGGCCCGAGAACCCUUUUAUUGUAUGAACAGACCACCGAAACCUGGCUUAUAUUCAGGAGGCCAAGAGACUGAAUUCCAGGCAGGCCAGGUGGUCUCUUUUCUUUAAAUGCUUUAAUUUUGUCCUAACCCAAAAACAGAAAUCAGUUGCCUUUCCUUUAUUAGAGAGAAGAGAGCCGGUGGUGUGUCGAAUACCCGGUGAAUGAGUAGUUCAAUGACCCCGAAUAAGAGGAGCAGCCUACCACCAUUUUGCACCAAGCCGAAGUGAUAGCGCAAAUUCACUGGGAAGUCAACGCUCCUGUCCACAAGGCCCGAGCGAACGGGACGAUUACUACGAAUUGGUCUUCUAGAUCAGCUGUUCGUUCCAAGUUCCGUCCAGUCUCAGAUACUUCAAUUGGGUUGUGUAUCGAGAAUGGCUGCUCACCUAGGGUUUGCCAGGACCCUUGAGUUCAUCAAGAGAAGGUACUGUCAGCCUGGAAUGGAGAGAGAGGUGCAACAACAUGUGCAGCAUGCGAGGUGUGCGCCCAGAACAAGGAGUCCUUCUGUGACCUGCAAUGUGCCAGCCAGCAACAUUCCCUUUCAGACAUUUCACUGCACCGGAGGACUAACAAGUUCAAGGCAGUCCAAAGAGCAUCCUUCAUAGUGGUAAUGAGAGAGUGCCUGUUGUGGAACAGGCUGUGUACAACCCCUCAGUAAACUGAGAUGUGCCACUUAAUAUCUAGCAGAGUAAUCUCAAAGACAUCUGUUGUGUUUGUGGAAAUUUGGAUUAUUUAAAUUCACUAGCAUGGUUCUAUAAUUAGAUGAACAAUGCAGUUUAAUGUUAUCAGGUCAUAACAUUGGUUAGUGCAAAGUGACUCGAGAACAAUUGACUUUGAUAGAUUGGUAAAUGAGAUAGUUCUUGGCACCGAGCCUCAGCCCUGCACUUGAGAAAAAACAUUUCCCUUUUACUAAGUGGGGCUUGACAAGGAAGGUCAUGUUCCACGUGGUAACAGGGAAUCUGGUGGAGGAACUCAGCGGGUGAAACCACACCUGGGAGAGCGAAGGAACCAUCGACAUAUCAGGUUGAAACCUUGCAUCAGGACAUAUUGAGUCUUCCGCAUUGAGAAGCCCUGGACAAGUCAGAAGGUUCUUAGAGCACUGAGGACUCAUUCUGUGGGAUUUAGGAUUAACAAUCCAGAGACCUAAAGGAAGUCCAAGUGUAAUACCCUGUUAAGACCUUGUGUUAUUUUAUUAAUACAUUUAUGCUGCUGAAUGCAAUAGGUGUUACUUUCAUUACAUUAGACAACUUGAGUAUUUCAUUUUUGCUGUUUAAAAUAAAAAUUCAGCUGAUUAAGUUAGACUUAUUGAACUAGCCAAUAGGAAUUGUCUUGUUAACAAUUUUUUCUCUUUGAGAGUGCGGGAAAAGAACGAGGAUCCAUUUUCUGGAGAGCGUGGGUUCGAACAAGGAGAAUGGAAACUGACAAUUAACAUCGAAGAGGAACAUUGGGAAAUGCCCUCGGAGCCCAUUUAGAAGGACAGAUAUUGUGAUGGAGAAAUUCUCAUUCAGACAAUAGCCUCACGGGGAAAGUGCAGAUAACUUUCAGUUAGGUAGUUAGCACACAACAUUGCAAAAUGUUCAACUCCUUUUUCCUUGGACAUUGUGUGAAUAUUUGUUUCCUGGGGCAGGUCCUUCAUUGCAAAACUGUUUCCGUUCUGCGAGUAGACGAAGUGAAGCAAUCUAGAUGGAGUACGCAACAAUGAGCUCCAAAGCACGAUAUAGACUCAUAUUGUAUAUGAUGGGCCUCUUUCAUUAUUUUGUAUUAUAUAGAAUCAUUGUGUUCGUUAAUAAGAAUUUUUGUCAAUACAAUUUUGAUC